AAUAAUAUUUGCCACAUUAUUGAUCACAUAAGAUCUAAAGGGUAUCUUUGAAAAUCGAGCAUUGCACUCUGUAAAUGGAAGGUCACUUGGAAUUACAAGAACAGUCCCUUUAAUAAAAAAACUCCUAGGAUAACAUUAUUAAAGUUCAGAAUAUGUUUAAAGACGACAUUUUUCAAUUAUUUAGGGCACAUACAGUUGUCAUGUGUCAAGAGUGGACAAAAGGACGACAUCUGCUGAAACUUAUUUAAACGUGGAAGAUCUGGUGAUGACGACCUUUAGAAAUAUUCCGCCAUUUUCCAUCAGUUCAUCUGCUGUUUCUGCAUCAGCUGUUUCAGUGUCAGCUGUCUCUAAGAAAUGUGUUUUUCUUCAAUAUUUUGUCAGUAUUAUAUCAAUUUAUUAUAUUUAUAAAUUUUAAAAGUUA